rnacentral:lncRNA from 1 species
GCCACCUCCUGCCCAACACAGCCCCAUGGUGGAUACACAAGCAACUCUGGAUUCCCUUUACCAGGUCCUUGCUAGAUUGAGGACACUCUUCCACUUUCCAUCUUUGGAGGUGGCUGAUGAAAGAGGCCACGGGCCGGCCACCAGCCUGUCCAGUGUCCAGCGAUGCCUCGGGAGAUGCACAGUGACUGCACCCCACCUUCCUGUCUGCUGGCUGGAGAUGCCCUUCUCCUCCUCCAGAAGACUCAGGCUGGAGAUCCUUUGGGGCUGGACCACGGACAGGUGAGGUUAUUAGGGGAGGCUGCAUGUGGGCCAGUUCGGGAAGGUGCUGAGAGCCUGAGGUGGCAGAGAUGACAGGGCCAACGGGGAGGAUGGCAUAGCGUAGCAAGGAAGAAGUUCCUGAGUGGGACAGACUGUGGCAGAGUCUGAGGAGGUGCAGACUCAGGGGCACCAUGCGGGGUCUGAGCUCUGCCCCCAUUGACUCCACCACAGCUAGGUGGUGGUUGGGGGACACAUCAGGGAUUGGUAGGUGGUCUCUAGAUGUUGCUGGUGUGGAUGGACCCUAGGAAAGAGACUGGGGGUCACUGGGCAGCACUGGAGGGGUUGAGGUGAGGGCCCUGGGGGUCAGCUGGGACUGGCCAAAAGGCAGAAGAGAGGCAGCCUCGAGGGCCAAUCACACCAGGGUGUGGGUGGGGCUCUCCUUGGUAUCACAGGCCUUUCUGUGUCUGGCCGGGUAGGGACUCCUGCCCAUCUUUCCAGCCUCAGUGCAGACAGCGCUCCCCCCUGCUCUCCCAAUCCUGCACAUUCCAAGCGUGUCAAUGGGUCCUGUUUAGACCCCACCCAGGGCCCUGUGGGCUCAAGUCACCACAUAACUUUCCACUACUGCCACUCCCUGGCCGUGUGGGGAGAGGUGUGGUCAUAACCUCCAUUUUCCAUCAGCCCCCUCACCCUCCACCCACCCAAGGGGAAAGCAUCAUAAUCUCCAUUGUCCACCCAACCUCCAUGUGGCGGCAUUGUCAUAACCUACAUUUUCCAUCAACCAUUUCACCCUCCCAACCCCCCACAGAGAAAAAUUUGUCAGGUUCUCCAUUCUCCAUCAACGUGCUUUACCCUUCCAACCAACCACAAACAAGGCACUGUCAAAAACGGGCAUACCUUGGAGAUAUUGCAGGUUCCACUCCAGACCACCACAAUAAAAAUGAGGAAACUGAGGCCUAAGAAUCUGAGGCAGCUUGAGUGAAGUCCAACCCCGGUCCCAUGGAGCACACCAGGUGGGGCCAGGUGUCACUCAGAGUGGCUGAAGAGACCAAGGGAUCAUCCUUGACACCUAUGACCUUGAACAAUCAUCAAACUUAG